GUGGGUAGUUGGAGUUGGGUCACAUUUAAAAAAUAAUUAUUGUGUAGAAAAACAGUGCAGAUUCCCCAUUAAAUCAUAAGCAACAGGAACAAAAUAAGAUUGCACUAAAAGCCACUUGGGAAUGUUGGAAGGAUUGUAAUACCUUUAUCUGUAUUAUAUGGACAAGAAUUCAACUUAAGCCAACAGCACCUUGAAAGAGAGUCUAGUCAUGAGUUGAUUUCUUUAAUUACGAAAAAGUUGAAAAAAUGGACCAAGUCUUUAGGAAACAGCCCUCUUCUUCUCUUCCCCUCCUCCUCCCUACCUCCUCUGUGCAAAAUUAGACAGCUCCUUCAGUAUCCUUAGAGCUAAGUAGCUCAUUUUGAGAGUCAAGCUAUAUGUGGGAAAACAAACUACUAAAAACAAUCCUGGGCUAUUGGAGGGGGCUAGAGGAGAGCAGCUUUAAAGACCACACCGAUAUUGACUAUUUCUAAAACAACAGCAGCAGCAGUUUCCUUGAAGAAUAAAUAAUGUGGAACACGGCUGCCCCAGUUUAUGCUUUCCAUGGUAGACAAGUCGCCAGGAAUGCAUUUCUUUCUAUUGUACUAUGUUCAACACUUGUUCUCUGAGAGGUCAGCCUACUGGAAGGUAACAUACGGACCCACACCUGAGGGCUCAGCGGAGAAAAGGGGGCCGGCGGGAGGAGCAGAAAGGCAACAGUUCGUUCUUGAGACAAAGGGUUGGAAUCAAGGGAAAUCCACAAACAAGCAAACGAUCUCCAGCUCCUAAAUUUCCACAGGGACCAAAUUCCCCACAUUCUUCAUGAUAUCAAAGGUAGAUGAGGGUAUUCGUCUGCAAUUUGACAGAGCUAUCAGCUCACUAAGUCCCGUAGUAAGAGGUCAGUCAGAAACUCCUUCCUUUCUGCAGUCAGGAGCCGGACAGGACUUUGUUUCACUGGAGUGCCUACAAGCUCCUGUAAGGAAACUCUUCAAAGUAUUUCUUUCCUCCACCUCUUUCAUUACCGAUGCUGCCACUUACCAGGGAAAAAUGGGAGCACCCCCUGCCCCCCAAAGAAGCCAGUCCGCGGGCUCUUUUUCGUACUUCACUAUUCCCAGCUCGCUUCGCAGCGUCCCCUGCUCUAAAUUCAGCCUGGUUUGCAGAAUAUCACAGAGGAAAUUAGCGGGCGGUGAAGCUGCCAAUCCCCUCUCAAACACUCCCAAGCAGCAAAGAAAGCGUUCUCCCCGUUCUGAGAAAGUCCCGACUCCUGGCAAUGCGGAAGCAGUGUCAGUCUGCUGGAUGCAGCCCAAGGCUUGUAGUUUUGCCUGGAUGUAGCGUUGUUUAAGAGAAGGGGCUAUGUUUGAAGCAGUGUGUGUGUGUGUGUGUGUGUGUGUGUGUGUGUGUGUGUGUGUGUGUGUGUGUGUGUGUGUGUGUGUGUGCGCAUUGAAGAGAAAGAUUGGUGGGGAGGGGGGGAAAGGGUGUGUCUUGGGGGAGGAAUGCCUCCAAUGUCCAAAAAUAACAUUUAGGAAAGAGGGAGGGCCAUCCAUCUCCCCUCACUUUUCUCCCUUAUUGCAUAGAGGGAGGUUUUAUCUUUGUCCAGGGAUUUCAAUAUCCGAAGAAAAAGGUAAAAACUUUAAAAAAAAAUUUAAAAAGCCAAUUCCUCAGACGAUGUCUACAAAUCACUUUUCUUGUUCAGCGGGAGUUUUAAGCUUCUUAAAGGUGGGCCCUUCUUGAAAACCGAGCUUUUCAAGAUACUUUGGCCAAGUCCUAGUAUUCAUUAGGAGUGGAUUGCUUUUAAUCUACCUUUUGUACACCCGAAACACAUAAAAGUUAGGUUGGGAUGAGGCCUCCCACUUAUGUUCUCAUGAUUUGAGCUGUUACUGCCACUGCCACUGAUUCUCCUUAUUACAAAGCCACUACUACAAAUGGGACCUUCACCAUCUCUCUUCCCGCUCCACCCCCCACCUCCCUCGGCCCCACCCCCAGUUAAGUAAGUGCUAAGAAUAAAUCUGGCCUUUGUUCUGCA
rnacentral:lncRNA from 1 species